AGCGAACGCUGGCGGCAGGCUUAACACAUGCAAGUCGAGCGGGCGUAGCAAUACGUCAGCGGCAGAUGGGUGAGUAACGAGUGGGAACGUACCUUUUGGUUCGGAACAACACAGGGAAACUUGUGCUAAUACCGGAUAAGCCCCUACGGGGAAAGAUUUAUCGCCGAACGAUCGGCCCGCGUCUGAUUAGCUGGUUGGUGAGGUAAUGGCUCACCAAAGCGACGAUAAGUAGCUGGUCUGAGAGGAUGAUCAGCCACAUUGGGACUGAGGCACGGCCCAAACUCCUACGGGAGGCAGCAGUGGGGAAUAUUGGACAAUGGGCGCAAGCCUGAUCCAGCCAUGCCGCGUGAGUGAUGAAGGCCCUAGGGUUGUAAAGCUCUUUUGUGCGGGAAGAUAAUGACGGUACCGCAAGAAUAAGCCCCGGCUAACUUCGUGCCAGCCGCCGCGGUAAAAC
rnacentral:rRNA from 1 species